UACAGAGGGGGCCAGCGUUAUUCGGAAUUAUUGGGCGUAAAGGGCGCGUAGGCGGCCAUGCGUGUCUUCCGUGAAAUCCCUCGGCUUAACCGAGGACGUGCGGAAGAAACUGCAAGGCUCGAGUCCGGAAGAGGGGGGCGGAAUUCCCAGUGUAGCGGUGAAAUGCGUAGAUAUUGGGAGGAACACCAGUGGCGAAGGCGGCCUUCUGGACCAAUACUGACGCUCAUGCACGAAAGCGUGGGGAGCAAACAGG
rnacentral:rRNA from 1 species